GGUUUCCCCUGAGGCCUCUCUCCUUGGCUUGCAGACGGCAGCCUUCCUUCUGAGUCUUCACAUGGUCUUACCUCUGUGUAAAUGUGUCCUCAUCU